rnacentral:rRNA from 1 species
GUGUCAGCAGCCGCGGUAAUACAGAGGGUGCGAGCGUUAAUCGGAAUUACUGGGCGUAAAGCGCACGUAGGCGGCUUUGUAAGUCGGAUGUGAAAUCCCCGGGCUCAACCUGGGAACUGCACCCGAAACUACAUUGCUAGAGUAUGGGAGAGGGAGGCGGAAUUUCCGGUGUAGCAGUGAAAUGCGUAGAUAUCGGAAGGAACAUCAGUGGCGAAGGCGGCCUCCUGGACCAAUACUGACGCUCAGGUGCGAAAGCGUGGGGAGCAAACAGGAUUAGAUACCCUGGUAGUCCACGCCCUAAACGAUGAGAACUGGAUGUCGGGAGGGUUUGCCUUCCGGUGUCGUAGCUAACGCGAUAAGUUCUCCGCCUGGGAAGUACGGCCGCAAGGUUGAA